rnacentral:rRNA from 1 species
AUAUCAAUAAGCGGAGGAAAAGAAACUAACAAGGAUUCCCCUAGUAACUGCGAGUGAAGCGGGAAAAGCUCAAAUUUAAAAUCUGGCGGUCUUGCGGCCGUCCGAGUUGUAAUCUGGAGAAGCGUUUAUCCGCGUCGGACCGUGUACAAGUCUUCUGGAAGGGAGCGUCGUAGAGGGUGAGAAUCCCGUCUUUGACACGGACAACCGGUGCUUUUGUGAUGCGCUCUCGAAGAGUCGAGUUGUUUGGGAAUGCAGCUCAAAAUGGGUGGUAAAUUCCAUCUAAAGCUAAAUAUUGGCGAGAGACCGAUAGCGAACAAGUACCGUGAGGGAAAGAUGAAAAGCACUUUGGAAAGAGAGUUAAACAGUACGUGAAAUUGCUGAAAGGGAAACGUUUGAAGUCAGUCGCGUCGGCCGAGACUCAACCUUGCUUCUGCUCGGUGCACUUCUCGGUUGACGGGUCAGCAUCACUUUUGGCUGCGGGAAAAAGGUCAGGGGAAUGUGGCACCUCCGGGUGUGUUAUAGCCUCUGGCUGCAUACCGUGGCUGGGAGUGAGGAACUCAGCACGCCUUCAUGGCGGGGCUUCGGCCACCUUCGUGCUUAGGAUGCUGGCGUAAUGGCUUUAAACGA